UACGUAGGGUGCAAGCGUUAAUCGGAAUUACUGGGCGUAAAGCGUGCGCAGGCGGUUCGCUAAGACAGAUGUGAAAUCCCCGGGCUUAACCUGGGAACUGCAUUUGUGACUGGCGGGCUAGAGUAUGGCAGAGGGGGGUAGAAUUCCGCGUGUAGCAGUGAAAUGCGUAGAUAUGCGGAGGAACACCGAUGGCGAAGGCAAUCCCCUGGACCGACAUUGACGCUGAGGCGCGAAAGCCAGGGGAGCAAACGGG
rnacentral:rRNA from 1 species